GAUGAAGAACGCAGCGAAAUGCGAUAAGUAAUGUGAAUUGCAGAAUUCAGUGAAUCAUCGAAUCUUUGAACGCACAUUGCGCCCGCCAGCAUUCUGGCGGGCAUGCCUGUUCGAGCGUCAUUUCAACACUCGAGCCCCCCCGGGGGCCUCGGUGUUGGGGGACGGCACACCAGCCGCCCCCGAAAUGCAGUGGCGACCCCGCCGCAGCCUCCCCUGCGUAGUAGCACACACCUCGCACCGGAGCGCGGAGGCGGUCACGCCGUAAAACGCCCAACUUUCUUAGAGUUGACCUCGGAUCAGGUAGGAAUACCCGCUGAACUUAAGCAUAUCAAUAAGCGGAGGA
rnacentral:misc_RNA from 1 species